rnacentral:rRNA from 1 species
CGCGUAGGCGGGAGAGCAAGUCAGAUGUGAAAUACCGGGGCUCAACCCCGGGGCUGCAUUUGAAACUGUUUUUUCUUGAGUGAUGGAGAGGCAAGUGGAAUUCCUAGUGUAGCGGUGAAAUGCGUAGAUAUUAGGAGGAACACCAGUGGCGAAGGCGACUUGCUGGACAUUAACUGACGCUGAGGCGCGAAAGCGUGGGGAGCAAACA